UUCACAGCAUAAUACUCUCUAGUUCCAUCCAUGUUGUUGCAAAUGCUGGCAUUUUGACUGCAACCUCAAGACAGACUCUGAAUUAGAACCUCACAGCUAAGCUACUACUGAAUUCUUGAUGCACAAAAACUGUCCAUGCAAAAGGUUGGCUGAACAAGGAAGAAAUUAAAUUGUGGACAGUUAAAGUGUGGUCCAGCUGUCCUAGUUGGGUGGACUACUAAGGAACUUGCGAUACUAGUCUGGAAUGAAUUUUGGUUGAUCUGAUUAGACAUCAAAAAGCUGGCCUAUAAUUCCAGAAGACUGAACUAGCCAGUUGCAGCCUUAAGACUUUGUUAUCAAGAAGUCAUUUAAAGGAUUCAUAAAGGAUGAGAAGAACAGGUAUAUGCAGGCUUCAGAUUUUUUGAGUUGAUACCAAAAGAAGGAAGAGGCUUACAAUUUCAUAACUGUGUGAAUAGGUCAAAACUUCAUGGAAUGCUGUAAAACAAGGGCCAAUUGUGCAAUGGUUUAAAUAAUGUGGAAUUAAUGUUCUUGACAAUCUGAGUACAAUUUUUUGUUUGAUGAUGGUUUUAACUGAGUUUUUAAUGCAGUGAAGGUUGAAGAUUAAGAGAUUCCUCUAGAAUCCAGUAGUAGCCAUAGUUUUCAGGUUUGGAAAAUAUUUCUUUAAUA